rnacentral:tRNA from 1 species
GCGGGGGUAGUGAAAUGGCUUCACAUCGGGUUACCCACCUCGAAGACGCCGGUUCGAUUCCGGUCCCCCGCUCCA